CGGGGCUGUCAGGCUCAGCCUGGUACCAGCGCGCCGGUGUCGCCUCUGCAUCGCCGCCGUCUCUGCAGUAGGGCGGGCUCAAACGGAGAGGAGGAAAUGGUCCUAGAGGAAGGUGCUGGUACCGUGCGCGUCCCGGCGCGUUCCUGCUGCACUAACUCAGUGCUCCUAGAGGUCACGAAAUGCCGUAUCUGUAUCAUAAGGAGCGUUUUACUGCGCAUGAGAGUUCAAAAUAUAAUGCGGUGCCGGCUCGGCGUUGGGCGAUGUCCCUCUGUUUCUGCUGAGCUCCAGCUGUGGGUCCUGAUUGUAUCUCUGGUCCCGUGCUCGUGGUUCUUUGCAGGUUUUGUGUGGAACCGAAAGGCACUUUUCUUGUCUCUGCAACGCACCUGCACACCAUACUCUACAAGAAGGAGAAAGUGUGGAGUGGCAAGCAGGAGGAAGGACCAUUUUUAGAUCUGCCCUUGGAUUCCAGUUCUUCGACAGGAGGCUCUGAGGCUGUGAACUCCCACCCUUAGCAAAGGGCCCAGAGACCUGUGGCCCGGUCAGGCAGGGACACUCAGAGACAGGCGGGAGCCAGUAACGCCCAGGCAGUGACUCACCUGGCUGUAACUUCGGGUACAGCCACCUGCGGGACACUCAGGGACAUGGCAGGAACUGAUGACCCUAAAUCGCUUCAAAAUUCCCCAAAAUCCUCUCAAAAUUCCCAAAAAUCCCCUUGAAAUUCUCUAAUUUCCCCAAUUUUCCCCCAAAAUCCCCCAAAUCCCCCCAAAAUCUCCCAGUUUUCCCCUAAAACCACCAAUUUUCCUCCCAAAUUCCCCAAAUGCCCCCAAAUCCUCCAAAUUUCGGGUGCAGGCGAGCUCGGCACUGGGGCUGCCCCUCCACCUGUCCCUGGUGGUGGCCGAGGAGGGGACCCUCGUGCAGGAUGAGGAAUUUUUUAGGACCCUCCCCCAACCCAGCCCCCUGCAGAGCUCUGGGAACUCCCCCCCCAGGUGAGACCCCUAAAACAUCCCCAAAUCUCCCCAUAUCACCCCAAAAUAGCUCCCAAAUACCCCAAAAUAGCUCCCAAAUCACACAAAAUAGCCCCCAAAUCACCCAAAACAGCCCCAAAUUCCCCAAAAUAAUCCCCAAACAGCCCCAAGUCCAACCAAAAAUCACCCAAAAUUACCCAAAAAACAGCUCAAAAUCCCCCAAAAUCCCUUCAAAACCAGCCUGAAAUCACCCAAAAUACCUAAAAACUGCCCAAAUUACCCCAAAAACAAGCCCCAAAAUACCCCAAAAUAGCCAAAAAUCCCUCCAAGUCACCCCAAAUCCAGCCCAAAAUCACCCCAAAAACACAAAAAUCCCCCUAAAACUGUUUUAAAAUAUCCCAAAAAAUCCCCCAGAAUCCCUCCCCAAACCCCCCAAAACCUCCCCAAACCCCAAAUCGAUGGAUUGAUUUGGCGAUUGAUUGCUCAUGCCUGGAUUGAUCAAUGAUUCAGUGAUUGAUUCCAAAUUCCCAAUUUGUGAAAUUUGGGGGAGGAGAUUUGAGGGAAUUCUGGGGGGAUUUCAGGGAAUUUUGAGGAGGAAUUCAAUGGAAUUUUGGAGGGAUUUUGGGGAAUUUGAGGGAAUUUAAGGGAAAUUCAGGGGGAUUUGGGAGAAUAUUUUGGGAGAAUUUGAGGGAAUUUUUGGGGGAUUUGAGGGAAUUUUAGGGGAAUUUUGGGAGGAUUUGAGGGAAAUUUUCAUGCAAAUUUGGGGAGGAAUUCAAUGGAAGGUUGAGAGAAUUUUGGGGGGAAUUGGAGGGAAUUUGAUAGAAUUUUGGGGAAGGCUAACUCUACAUUUGAAAGGAAGGACUAGAUUUGCUGGCAGCAAUCAUCACCUCUAGAUGUGAACGUGGACAUGGAGGGCACCAGACUGGUUCAGAGCUGGCUCCCUGAAGAGACUCAGCAGCUGAGUUCCUUCUGGCACUUAUGUGGGUGCUUUUCUGACAUCUCUGUUCUGUGUCCCCAACACAGCUCCUGCGUCCAGGGAAAUCAAAGUGUACAUAUGUGAGAAAUGGUUGCUUUUCUCCAGGCAAGCAUGUGAAAUUCAGAUCUUGAAGGAAAAAACUCCCUGACCCACCUGGAAUGAUUUGGGUAUCAGGAGGCACCUGGGAGACUCCUUUUGUGUCCUGGGUGGGGCUGUGGCUAUAAAAGGGGUAAAGGAUGGAGCAGGGGGGCUCAGUGCACAGGGAAAUUAACCUUUGGGGAAGUUCUUACAGCUCUAUUUAAAGCUUUAUGAAUUAUGAUGAUUUUCUGUAAGUAGGCUAUCUGUUCUAAUCCAUUUUGUUUCCUCUCCCUGCAGAUUCUACCUGCUGAAAGGCUGAGGUGAGAGCAGGAUCUGUAAAAUCUGACUCUCUGUGUCUCCCUGGGGCUGAAGCUGUGUUUGCUGUCAAUGGUUACAUGGUGGAAUAUGAUAAAGACUGAAAAUUUUGUUGUUUUUUUUUUUUCCCCUGAAACCCAAGACUCUCUCUGUAGCUGUGCCCUGUAUAUCUCUUAAAAGAGUUCCUGAGUUUAGAAAGGUUUUUACAUCCUGCAGUGUAUAAUUCAAUUAAAAAGAAUUGUACUGUG